rnacentral:rRNA from 1 species
UACGGAGGGUGCAAGCGUUGUCCGGAUUUAUUGGGCGUAAAGAGCUCGUAGGCGGCUCGUUGCGUCGGCUGUGAAAACCCGCAGCUCAACUGUGGGCUUGCAGCCGAUACGGGCGGGCUGGAGUUCGGUAGGGGAGACUGGAAUUCCUGGUGUAGCGGUGAAAUGCGCAGAUAUCAGGAGGAACACCGGUGGCGAAGGCGGGUCUCUGGGCCGAUAUUGACGCUGAGGAGCGAAAGCGUGGGGAGCGAACAGG